GCUGCGCUAAUUGUAUUGUGUUCACAGAGCUCACAAGCUAUCAGAAAGUUGUAUGGCAACCACCUCCGGCGCCAAAUAGAACUGGCAGACAUAGACAUUCAGUACAAGAAGAAAAAGAUGGAAAAUCUUGCACUGGAGUCCGAAAUAAAAAAGAGGACAAUUAGGAAACUGGACCUUGAAAUAAAAAAACUUGAGAGGGAGCUCCAAGAAGAUGACACAGCUCAAAAUAAAAAUUAGGUAUAUUCUCGUAAAGUCAAGUGAGCCAUGACAUAUGAGCUCUUAUUGUGAGCACACAGGACGGUGGCAUCUUUCUAAGGUUUUUUUUAUUUUCCCAGCAAUCAGUACAACCAAGUCAUCGUUAUAAGGCAUUGCCCUCUUUUGCCCACCCCCCCAGCACCAGGUGUGGCCACUAGCCUAUAUGAAGGCCCAAAAUUGUGUGUUCCUUUCUGCUCUGACAAUGGCAUGCCCAUUCGUGCGAGAUGUGGUGGAUGAAGAAGCACUUGUUCUGAGGAGAGCCUUCAGGCGAGAAAGGGUCUUCAGGGACCGGUUGGACCCACUGGCCUUCCCUGAUGACCAUCUAUAUGAAAGAUACAGGUUUUCUGCAGAUGGCAUCAGGUAUCUAUGCAGACUACUGGGUCCCAGGAUUAAGCACCGCACUGCACGGAGCCAUGCACUGAGUGUGGAGCAAAUGGUUUGUGUGGCCUUGCGCUUUUUUGCUAGUGGAGCCUUCCUGUACUCAGUGGGGGAUGCAGAACAGCUGAACAAGGCCACAAUUUGCCGCACAAUAAGGAGUGUGUGUCUGGCUAUCAAAGCAUUAGCAGAUGUCUUCAUCUCCUUCCCUGGCCACAGAAGACUCUGUGACAUCAAAGAGGAGUUCUAUAGGAUUGCAGGUUUCCCCAAUGUCAUUGGUGCAGUGGACUGCACACACAAGGAUAAAAGCCCCC